AGGGCUGCAGUAUAUUGACUGUACAAAGGUAGCAUAAUCAUUAGUCAUUUAAUUGAUGACUUGUAUGAAGGAUUUGAUGAGAUAUAAACUGUCUCUUAUUUAAUUAUAAAAUUUAAUUUUUUUAUUAAAAAGUUAAAAUAUCUUAAAAAGACGAGAAGACCCUAUAGAGUUUAAUAAAUUAUUAGAUUGAGAUUAUAUGUAAAACAAAUUUAAAAUAAAAUUAUUUAUUUUGUUGGGGUGACAAAAAAAUACAUUAAACUUUUUUUUUUAUUUUAAAACAUUUAUAAGUGAUUAAAUGAUCCAAUAAUAUUGAUUAUGAGAAAAAAUUACCUUAGGGAUAACAGCGUAAUUUUUUUUUUUAGUUCAAAUAAGAAAAAGAGUUUGCGACCUCGAUGUUGGAUUAAGAUAAAAUUUAAA
rnacentral:rRNA from 1 species